rnacentral:rRNA from 1 species
UACGGGGGGGGCAAGCGUUGUUCGGAAUUACUGGGCGUAAAGGGUGCGUAGGCGGCUUUCUAAGUCGGAUGUGAAAACUCUGGGCUCAACCCAGAGCCUGCAUCUGAAACUGGGGAGCUAGGGUUUUGGAGGGGAAAGCGGAAUUCCAGGUGUAGCGGUGAAAUGCGUAGAUAUCUGGAGGAACACCGGUGGCGAAGGCGGCUUUCUGGACAAAUACCGACGCUGAGGCACGAAAGCUAGGGGAGCAAACAGG